UCCCAUUCCAUGCCAAAUGCUCGCUUCCCAUUGGUCAGAUUAGAAUCACUUUUCCCUCCCCCCAAAACACUGAACUAUACGACUGCAUCUAUACAUCCAUUCCUACGUUCUCUCACCAUUGUGAAUCUCAACCAAACUAAUCUUAUUUUCUAUCUCCUAGUUCAAACGAAAGAGGUUUUGAAAUCUUGCUCUCCUGCCACUCAGGUUUGCCUCUGUUUUCGGGAAAUGCUUUGGAGUGGAGGUUGAGACAUCAAGUUUUGAUGUCAUAGGUGUGUUAUUUUCCAGAUCUGCGUAUACACUUUUCCAGAUCUGCAAGGUGAAGGUGUGUUAUUUUAUUUGAUUUGUUUUUUAUUUUGUCUUUCCUGUUUUUGUUUUGUGCUUUUGAUUUGUUCUUUGAUCCAACUCUUAGAUGUUUGGGUUUAUGAUUUGUUCUAUGUUCCAACUCUACAGUGUUAUUGUUAUUUUUAGUUGCUUUUGUUUCAAUUUCUUUUAUUUUAUUUAUUUAUUUAUUUAAUUCUUUUACUAACUUUAUGUUGUUUUUGUUUUAUAGUUUGUUAUAUGUUCUAACAUUGUCUUUGCAUUUCAACUAAACCAUCUAAGAGUUAAUAUCAGGUGAUUUAUUCUCACUUUAGUAUCAUUUUCAUUUUUAGACUCAGUAUGUUUCUAUGUCUGAGAGUGGAUUUCUACAAACAGAGUAUGGAUAGUGAACUUGCCUCCCAUUUACAAUUGAUUGCUAAUAUAAAAAAAUCAUGUAUAUUUUACUUCUCAUGUUCACUUCUAAUAACAAAUUAUGAGUAUUUAGAAUUUAUAUCAAGUAUUUGUUUUAAUUGUCCACUUUAUCUGAUUUUUUAAAACUGAAAGAGUCAAAUUAAGGUACUGUGAUGGAGCAGCUUUUACGGGAGAUAGUGAAAAUGAGGAUGCACGGCUUCAAUGUCAAGGACAAAAAAUAUGGCUAGCUGCAAUAGAGGAGGUGUCAGCGUGAUCUUAUGCUGAUAUGGUGCGUGUUUCUGUUUUUAUGCAUUCUACUUUGAAACCGAUAUAAUAGUGCUUAUGUAUCUCUGUGCAACUGCAAAUCCCGAUGGCCAAAAGCAAGCCCUUGUGAUCGGAGGAGGAAUUGCUAACUUCAUUAAUAUUGAUCCAGAAAACAAAACAGAAGACUGUGUUCAUUCACUUGCUUGAUUUAUGACAAUAUAUAUCUUCUGACUUUUGGUUUCCGCUGUAAGUUAAGAACGUAUCUGCCACCGUUAAUUUGUUCCUACUUUGAUGAAAAUGUUUUGAUUCAUCACAUCAUUA